rnacentral:rRNA from 1 species
UACGUAGGAUGCAAGCGUUGUCCGGAAUUAUUGGGCGUAAAGAGCGCGCAGGCGGUUUGGCAAGUUGGACGUGAAAUUUUAGGGCUUAACCCUAAAGGGUCGUCCAAAACUCCCAGACUAGAGUGCAGGAGAGGAAAGCGGAAUUCCCGGUGUAGUGGUGAAAUGCGUAGAUAUCGGGAGGAACACCAGAGGCGAAGGCGGCUUUCUGGCCUGUAACUGACGCUGAGGCGCGAAGGCUGGGGUAGCGAACAGG